AGGACAGGCACUGGGGAGUGCCAGGUUUAUUUGUGCCUCUGGUACAAAGGACCCAACCACAGUGUCUGAGCUGAGAGGCAGUGCAGGCUGUUGGGAGCAUCUUGCAGGGACUUGAAUUUUUGCUGUGGGAAUGUGAAAAACACAGGAAGCUGCUCUCUGCCAAGUUAUUUCCCCAAGGAUCUGCUUUACAUACUGACAAUCAAUGACCUGUCAGGUGUAGUUAUGCACCAUAGCAAUGAUAUGAGGUCAAUCAGAUGAAACCAAGAUAUUUUGAAGUCAUCUGUUGAUUUUCUGCGCUACAAGACCAGCAUGUGAAUCGUGUCAACAACUGUAUUCCAUGUUUCAAAAACAUGUAAAAACAUUACAGUUCUUCCAACAGAAGAAGCAGAGAUCUGGAUCCCCAGUGGAGUGCUGGAAAAAGAACACAAAGCAAGGAACUACCAGAUCCAGUUGCCUUUUUCCUUCCUGCUGCUCCAGAGCCUUGCUGUAGGAGCAGAUUGUGCUGCUCCAAACCAGCUGGCAGAGAAAAGCAUCCAUCUGACAGGCGGGCAGAGCGGCAAAGGAGAGGUGGAGGCUGGAGAGGACCGCGCUCUCCAGGGGAGAUGCAGGUUUUUUGGCAAGCUGCAGCCUGCCCUCAGAGUGCACCUGCCCACAGUGAGGGGCUGAGGGCUUUGCUGCCAGAGGACAGCCUGCAGCAGGGCAGAAAGAGCUGGGGGCCACGUCCUCAGCUGCUGCCUGCUCCAGUGGGACAGUGAAAGAUGGUCCUGCUUUCAUCAGGUGAGGAACUGAGCCUGAAGGCUAAUUAAGUGAUUUUUUCCCUAAUCCAGCUUUUCAGAGGGUGAAAUUAGCCUGACUCCCCAGACAAAUGUAGUGCCAAGACCAACUACUCACAUCUCCAGAGAUCAAGCCCCUACUGGAGCCUUUCCCUCUAUUCCCAGGGCUGUUCAGUGCCCUGUGGCCUGCAGCUUCAUUCUACUCCACUGUUUCCCUCCCAAAAACCCUGGUAGAGUGGAGUUGUGCUGGCUGCCCAUCUCCCUGCAGAAGACACUGCGUGCUUCCUCCCAGAGCUGUGUCUCGUCCAGGUGCCAUAGCCUAAAUGACAGCUUGUGGGGCCACCGGGGUAAAAUGCUGCCCAUCCAGCCUAUCAAGGGACCCUGUUUUACCCAUUUGGUCCUCAAUGGGGAAUAAAUGUUCAUUGAAAUGACAAAAGAGGUGCCAUCCUAUUGCCUGAAACAGAUGGGAAACCUACUUGCAUUGGCCAUAUUGCUUUUGAGCAGUUCCUAGUUCAUCCGCAUAAAAACAUCUGUCCCGUGAGCCUUAGACCUCCUGUGGGCAGCUCAUUUUGGGGUACUGCACAAAUCUGUCUGGUGAAGACUUGCUGGAUUCAUCUGGCUUGCUCAUAUUUCUAAAACUGAGCAAAGGACUUAUUUAUUUAUGGCUGUUCUCUCCAUUUGUGUGGUGCAGGGUUGGUUACCCAGGAAGGGAUGCCUGCCACGCUCUAAAAUGGGGACGAUUAUCUGUGUGCAGCUUGAGAAUAAAGCUGUGUCACAGCACCUGUUCAAUCCCAUUACAAUGAGAGCUGGCACGGCAGGAGUAGAGCUGGAGCAGAGUAGACAAGAUGCAGUUUUAUUUUAAGUGAAAUUCAAAACAUACCAUUAGGAAUAAACCUUUUCUUCAUAAAACAGUAGCAGGGAAGGCAGAAUAUAUUUUCCAAGCAAGUUGCAAAAGUUCAGGAAAUUCUUGGCUCACUGUUUGUUUUAAGUGAUAUAAAGGAGAAGAAAGAGACUCUAUCCAGCACAAAUCAUAUUUUUAAGAAUUUCCCAAUAUUGCUUCCUGUCUUUGUGCUUGUGAAGCAGAUUGUAUAUAGAAAUAAAACAGAUUUAUUUUAUCUCUUCAGAAGAAAGUGUCUGCUAUAUAUUUUGCUGGCUCUCGUUCGUUCAUUCAUUGAAAAACAGCAGGAAAAAGGCUUUUGUGUUAAGAACAGUCAAGGUCAGGGAUUUUUGUUUUUGAUGUUGGCUGGCAGUAGCUUGCUUUCUCUGACUACUGUUUCCAAGUCAGUUUGGAUAGCAAUCUAGUUGCUAGCUUACAGGGAGAUAUUUCACAGCUACAGGUCAUCUACAGUGAGUGCAAACUAGAAGGAGAUUUGAGGACCAAAUUAAAUGUCCUCUACUCAGCUCCUAUUCAUGCCAAUAUCGAAUUAAGUUUAUCAAGCCUACUAAAGGACACGCAAAUUUGUGACUCUGAUGCUGCAAACUCUUUAUACACACUCACCUUUAGAAACUGUGUGAGGAAAAUCUUUACCUGUGUGACUUGGUUUACAGAAUCAGAGCCUUUCACACAAAAAUUCACUAUAGGAAAUACUUAUUUUCAUAGUAAGCAAAUACAAAUGGGAAGCAAUGUCGUGAUUUUAUAGAAAGAUGUUCUGCAUGUUCUGCAAGUGGACAUUUUUAAAGCCAUAGUACCUUGAAAUUGCACAGUCAAUCACCAUUACUCAUUCACAGUCAAGCUACUGUAUUUCUAAAGUCUCAAGUUAAUGGUUAAAGGCAAAUAAAAUAAAUCAUUAGACAAAAUAUCUAUGUCAUAAAAUGUCAGUAUGAAAGUCUGAGCACUUCUUGUUCAGCUUAUUUUUCUGGCAGCAGGACAUUUGGGUGGCAGGCAGGCACAAAGUAGAAAUAUGCUGUAGUUUAUUCUGUGGUCUGUAAAGCCAAGCCACUGUGCAAGAGUGCAGCUUAAUCAUACAUUCACUGACAACUCCUGUUUAAGCCACUCACAAGCAGUAUGUGACACACAGAGAGAUUGCACUUUUCCCUCACCUUUUAAUGUAAUUCCAAAGAUUUUGUGAAUAUAUCAAUUAGAGGUUUCCAGUAAUGGAAAGCAGGUUUCAAAUGCUGGAGAAGUACAAUAAAUCACCAGCCAUAUGGGCUUUUGUCAUUAAAAGAAAGCCAUAAUAAGACAAAAGCUGAAGUAAGUUAAAACAGCUGAAGAGUGAUUUUAGGCGAUCUUAUGCAAAACUCACUACCUUGGUUUAUUCACAGGAAACUUCUUUAGAAGACUGAAAGAAAAUCUUUUUCAGUUCUUUAUUUCUUGGCUACAUCAGAAAGAAAGCAAAGUAAAAGCCAUCUCAGUGGCGCUUUUCAUGCUCUGCUUACUUUGUUUUCACAUGAGAUCCUGUCUGCUACCUUUGUUUUUUUCCCCCUGCUUUUUAGAGGGCUCCUUGUGCAAAACAAUGAAGAGUCCUGAUAACAACAGGCAGUUGCUCCAAGGCCUAGUUGUUCAGCAGGAUUCACUCCAAGAAAUUGAGAGGGGUGUGUUGAGUCUUUUUUCUGUCACCAGCCUUUACAGUUAGCGGACCAGAUGGCAUGAGAGGGGCGCAAAAAAUAACGACAAUAAAUAAUACUACAACUUACAACGUGGACCAAGCUCAGUUACUUCCACUUCAUCUCACUGUUUGGAAGUGCCUUUGAUGUAUAAAAGCACCCCCUAAGAUAAUGAAAUGCGGUGGCAGCUGGCUAAUGGCUGGGAAAGUGCAAACCCUGCAUUGAACUCUUCCCACCAGGCUAUUCAGCACCCAGGCAAUGUCAGUCUCAAGGAGACAAGGAGACGGGAGGAAACAGAGGCUUGUUGCUGUGCAGCAUUUGGGCUUCUGGGCAGGCUGCUGUAGGUGGGGUGUUAUUUGCCUUGCUGAAUGGAAGUGAUGUGCCCAAGGCAAAGGGAAAGUUUUUACUGUCUUAACACAUUAACCUUGCAGACUCUGUCCUAGAAAUGUUAAAUGAAGCCACAGGGUCACACUGCUUGAGGAGACACUGCUGUUGGGAAAACUUUAAAAUGGACUUUUUUUUUUACGCUACAAUCCCAUCAGUCAUGCAAUCAGGGUUAGUUUCCUUUCAGGCAGGACUAUCUUGUGGCUCGCUUCCAUGGGCAAUAAAAGAAUAAACACAUCCAGACUUUUCUCUCAGCUGCUCCAGGCCUAAAUGUGGGCCAGGGUAAAUGACAAAGAUCUAAAAUAGACAACAGACACAGGCAAAUAUGAAAACCCUAUUUGUUCAGGAGCUUUAAGACAGUACGGGAUUUAUUCCUCCAACACAAAGCAAAAUUUCUGGUCUUUCCAUUAAAUGAUCCUGUGUUAAUAAUAUUAUAAUGGGAUCUGACCCUGCAAACACUUGAUUAGAUGUGCACUCAUCUUCAUGCAUUAGUUCUGCUAACCUCAGUGCUGGCAUUUGUCACCAGAAAGUUCAGAAUAAGCGCAGACUUUGCAAGUUUGGGGCUUGCCCCUGCCAAAUGUGGCAGCAGCCUGUAUCAGCAGGGGAGGUGCAACAGGAGAUUUGCAACAGAGCCUCAUUAUUAAAAGAGUGAGUGGUAAAAGUAAAAUUUACCAGAAUAAAUAUUUUGGCAAAAAAAAGGAGAUAUUUUCUUUUUUAAUAUUUGGCAGAAAAUUGUUGUUUUUUAUAGUUAAAUUUUGGAACAUUCAUACACAAUUAUAAAAUUCAACUUGCUGACAGUCUAGAUACAAGGGAUGGAAAUAUUCUGAAAUGUUAUUGCUGUGGGUGUUAUGAUCUUGCAGGCAAGGGUCUUGUAUGACCAAAUGAUCCCAUUGUGACACCUUAAUCCUCAAUAUAUAAGUCCACAAUUGUUUGAGAGCUGUAGUAGCCUCCAAGUCUCAUUGGUUUAGGAGAAUGCAGAAGGUUAAAAAGGGGACAUUUUGCAUACUUUGUCCAAGAUGAAUGUCCAGAUCCACAGUCAGGGCAAGGUUGCUGAAUCUCAGUGUGUAUUUUGAUUGACUCUAUGCCAAAGGUGUAUUAUUGUCACUUGGGCUAAUGUAUACCGUAUCCUGCAGUACAGCUCCAAUAUAUUUCCUAAGAGUAAACAUAAGUCAAUGCCACCAAAAUUUUUCAGUGCCAAGAGGGAAUAGCUCUGUUUAAUGCUAAGGCUAUGGCAGCAAACUUUUGAUCUGUUGCUUAUGAUCUCUUACCCUCACAAAGUGUACUUGCUUUUUAGGAAAAGUCUUUUUGUUUCAUUAGGUUGGCACUCACCAAGAAAUCCCAGCCGGAGUAGAAAUAUUGGCUCCAUCAGUCAGCCUUUGACCGUUCCCUGCACAGAGCUUGUUUUCUAAAUCUGGUUUUGAGAGCUGUUUGCUUGACAGACUUCUUUGCAGACUUAUGAUUGUUUGUUUCUGGCUCGUUUUGAUUGCUCUGAUAAUCUCUAGACUUUGGCCUUGAGGCUAUCAUUUAUUUUGUACUUUUAUUGGUGUUUGUUAUUUGAAACUUUGUUUUCAGUAGAUUUGCGGCCCCUUUCUAAACCACUUUUCUGAUUAAAUUUUGUUGAAGAAGUUGGUGGAUUACUUUACCUAUUUCCCCCUCUCGUUUUUCCUCCUCCUAAUCGUUCAGUUGAGAACUCACCUGCCUUUUGUUUGUGCCUGCCUUUGUGAUUUAUUUUCAGAUUAGAAGGAGCAGCUGCACAGCUUUUACUUUUAUUAGUUCUUCUCAGUGAGUCAGGCAAAAUAUUAACCACCCAUGAAUUGCUCUUCCAAAACCUCAAGUGAAUUACAAUAGAACUUUUGCCUCCACAGUUCAGAAAAAAAUAUUUUUGUUCUUUGACUUUCACUUCACCCAGGCCUUUUGUGUGUGUUUGUGUGUGUCUGUAUGUGUGUGUGUGUAGAUAUAUCUGCUGUGAGGAUAAAAUAAGUUAAUGUACCAGAACAUAUGAAACUAGCUUGAGCUUUCUGACAAUUUGCCUGACAUUAUUUUUGCAAGAGUUAAAACAUGAAAUUUAAGUUCAUAUUUAGGCCUCAUCCCUUCAAUGCAUGGAGCUCAGUGGCAUGAAUACACGCAUCCAGUGCUUCCUUAUUUCCAAGGCAUUGUGGUUCUUAGUUCUCUGAUCCUUUACAUUUUAUCUACCACAAAAUGUAGUUUUGUGUAGUUUUUAUAUCUAUUAAUAAGUGGUUUCUGUCUUGAUUUUGGUGAUUUACAAAGUUCUACUAUUUCUCAGUUUUUGAGCAUUCUGCCUGUUUACAUUUACUUGCUUUGUCCACUCCUUAAUUCUAAUGGGGAGAUAGCUUUCCUACAACUUACAUAUCUUACUUACUUACAUAACUUACAUCUCUGAUGUGGGACUUUCUUCCUAUUAAUACAUUUUAAAUACAUGUUUUAAUUUUCUUUAGGGAUCAGGGGUCAGUGGGAAGGAGGAUGAAGGGGGUGGAAUAUGUCACAGAUUAAGCUAAGUUCCCCAAAGACCAAUUAUUCAUAGAAAAUUUCAGUAAUUUUGCAGAGUUUAGGUUACUGCAUUUCAGUUUCUCAUACUUGAGGAUUCAAGACCUUGGCCACACAAGUAGCUGAAUGGCCACAGAGACAGCUAAAGCCAAUGGUCUCUGCAAGCAUUUUGUUUUUAUGGGAGUAGGACAGGAUGUUCAAAACAGGAGCUUCAGUGGGGAAAGGUUUAAGUGCAAAACUCUGCUGACAUAAAAGCUUAAGUGCCUAAAAUAUGCAAUCCCAAAUUAACUGAUGCAUAGUUAGUGGGUUAUUUUAAAAAUGUAUUUCUUGGCAAAGAAUGGUAACAGUAUAAUAUGCUAGCCAAUACUGAAUUUGUCCAUGUCUGUGUCCACAUAAUGUGUACUGAGACUGAUAAAGAAGACAAAUAAACUGGUUUUCUUGUUAACCAUUGCUCUUUCUUUGUAUACCAUUCUGAAAGGUUAACUACCCCUUGGUGGGACCCUGGUUAUUGAAUUUUGUUUUUCUAAUUAUUACA